CCUACGGGCGGCUGCAGUGGGGAAUAUUGCACAAUGGGGGAAACCCUGAUGCAGCGACGCCGCGUGAGUGAGGAAGUAUUUCGGUAUGUAAAGCUCUAUCAGCAGGGAAGAAAAUGACGGUAACUGACUAAGAAGCUCCGGCUAACUACGUGCCAGCAGCCGCGGUAAUACGGAGGGGGCAAGCGUUAUCCGGAUUUACUGGGGGUAAAGGGAGCGUAGACGGCGUGGCAAGUCAGAAGUGAAAGCCCAGGGCUCAACCUUGGGACUGCUUUUGAAACUGAGUAGCUAGAGUGCAGGAGAGGUAAGCGGAAUUCCUAGUGUAGCGGUGAAAUGCGUAGAUAUUAGGAGGAACACCAGUGGCGAAGGCGGCUUACUGGACUGUAACUGACGUUGAGGCGCGAAAGCGUGGGGAGCAAACAGGAUUAGAUACCCUGGUAGUC
rnacentral:rRNA from 1 species